AUGGGGAGCAGUGUGAAGUUCUGAAGGGGUGAUCAGAGGAGUCUUCCUACAGAGGGCAGCGCCUUUGAAACUGGAUUUGGAAAACCUUUGGAUGUAUAAUAUCUGUCCAAAGAAGUGUAUAAAUUACAAGUGUUGGACUCAAUGAACUUCCAUAAGGUGAACAUUCCCUCAUAGGUAGCACCCAGAUGAAGAAACAAAGAACUUUCAGGGCACCUGGCUGGUUCCAUCGGUAGAGAAUGCAACUCCUGAUCUUGGGGUGUUGGUGGGCAUGUGGGCUGUUUCCAGUCUCACUGGAUUUUAAAGGAAGGGAGAAACUGGCUGACGGAGAAGGAUGGAAGGUUCCAGCAACCAACCAGGCAGGCGCCCUUGUCUUCAUUUUACUCACAAGGACACGGAAGCCCAGAGAAGUGGAAGAAUAACCCCUGCUUUACACAGCUGGUCAACGGCAGAACCAAGAUGUGACGACCUGCCAGCUCAGAGCCAUUGAGGGUCGGAGAGCUUAAAUAAUUCAUUAAUAAAAUAACAUCUCAGAGUUGAACUCACCAACGUCUGAUGCCAGAAAAGUAGCUCUUUCCAAGAGGCCCACAAUACUCCCCUCCAACGUGGAAAAGGGGCCACCAGUGUAGGGUACUACCUCCUGACUGGCACAGGACCCCCAGGAAGGCCUCGCCCCAAAGGGAAACCAGGUGGAAAAAUCCAAGGGCACUCAAGAAUUUUACCUCAUACUCGGGAAGGGGACCAUUUCAGGGUCACCAGAGGCUUCCAGGAUAUGUGGGGUUGGCCCCAAGGUUGGAGGUAGGCUGAGCAAAAGACCACCCUGGCAGGACCUCAUCCUUAGUCACCUGGAGCACCUGGAGGUGCUCACCCAUGUCCCUGGGCUGAGAAGUGGCCAGCAGGGCCCAAGUCCCAGCGCCACCCCCAUGGCACUUUUGGAUUGUUUCCUCCUGCUUUGAGCUAAACCUGGGACAGAGGUGCCCUGACAUAAGGUCUCCAGGGGCCACAGGCCCCCCUCCCAGCCCCCAGACUGCAGAUUAAUGACAGGAAAAGGAAAGAACUGGGGCCCGGUGGUGAGUUUUCUCUCCCCAACAAAGCCCACUUCCGUCGCCGGGCCUGCCCUCUGUCAUGCUUUCCAGACUCGCAGUCCCUGGGGCUUCUGGGGCGACUCUCAGCCUCCCGGUCUGCAGACCAAACUGAGGGGCAGUGAAGGGAAGGCCAUAACAGGUCCCAUCGAUCUAUAAAUAGCAGCCCAGCCUGCCCUGCUUGGACCCAGGCCAGCCUGGUGCCCACCCUCUCUCUCUGUUCCCUCUUUUCCAGGCAAUAAGAGGAGGAAGUUAUCCAGGCAGCUGCAUCCUAGCCAUUCAAGAGGAGGAAAUAAACAAAAGGUGGAGGACAGAGGGGGAAAGAAAGGGGGAAAAAGAGGAAAGAAUAGUGGGUGGGUGAAACCAAGGAAGGAGGAAGGAGGAGAUGCCUGGGAACCCGAGUGGUCACCUCAUGGUCAUGCCGUCCCCUGCCUAUGCCCACUUGUGGCCGCCCCUUUCCCAACUCCCCAGUGUAGCACAGAAGAGGCUUUUUUUUUUUUU